rnacentral:rRNA from 1 species
UGGGGAAUAUUGGGCAAUGGGCGCAAGCCUGACCCAGCAACGCCGCGUGAAGGAAGAAGGCUUUCGGGUUGUAAACUUCUUUGACAGGGGAAGAUAAUGACGGUACCCUGAAAACAAGCUCCGGCUAACUACGUGCCAGCAGCCGCGGUGAUACGUAGGGAGCAAGCGUUAUCCGGAAUUACUGGGUGUAAAGGGCGCGUAGGCGGGCAAGCAAGUCAGAUGUGAAAUGCCGAGGCUUAACCUCGGAGCUGCAUUUGAAACUGUUAGUCUUGAGUGAUGGAGAGGCAGGCGGAAUUCCCGGUGUAGCGGUGGAAUGCGUAGAUAUCGGGAGGAACACCAGUGGCGAAGGCGGCCUGCUGGACAUUAACUGACGCUGAGGCGCGAAAGCGUGGGGAGCAAACAGG